rnacentral:rRNA from 1 species
GAUGAACGCUGGCGGCGUGCCUAAUACAUGCAAGUCGAGCGAACAGACGAGGAGUUUGCUCCCCUGACGUUGGCGGCGGACGGGAGCGUCACACGUGGUUAACCUAACUCUAAGACUGGGAUAAUUUCGGGAAAUCGGAGCUACUAACGGAAAAUUUAUCGACUUGCAUGGUUCACUCGUGAAAGUAGGUUUUUGUGACAGUAAUAGCUUGCUCCGCGGCUCAUCAGCUAGUUGGUUAGGUGAAGGAUUACCCAGGCAACGACGGUAAGCCGACCCGAGAGGGUGGUCGGCCACACUGGAACAGAGGCACGUUCCAGACUCCGACAGUAGGCAGCAGUAGGGAAUCUUACGCAAUGGACGAAAGGGUGACGUAGCAACGCCGCGGGAGUGAUGAUGGUCUUCUGAUCGGAGAACGCUGUUAUUCUUGAGGAACAAAUGUGUUAGUAACUAGGCUCGUCUUGACGGUACCGGAUGAGAAAGCCACGGCUAACUACGUG